rnacentral:rRNA from 1 species
GACGAACGCUGGCGGCGUGCUUAACACAUGCAAGUCGAACGGAAAGGCCCUGCUUUUGUGGGGUGCUCGAGUGGCGAACGGGUGAGUAACACGUGAGUAACCUGCCCUUGACUUUGGGAUAACUUCAGGAAACUGGGGCUAAUACCGGAUAGGAGCUCCUGCUGCAUGGUGGGGGUUGGAAAGUUUCGGCGGUUGGGGAUGGACUCGCGGCUUAUCAGCUUGUUGGUGGGGUAGUGGCCUACCAAGGCUUUGACGGGUAGCCGGCCUGAGAGGGUGAACGGCCACAUUGGGACUGAGGUACGGCCCAGACUCCUACGGGAGGCAGCAGUGGGGAAUAUUGCACAAUGGGCGGAAGCCUGAUGCAGCAACGCCGCGUGCGGGAUGACGGCCUUCGGGUUGUAAACCGCUUUCGCCUGUGACGAAGCGUGAGUGACGGUAAUGGGUAAAGAAGCACCGGCUAACUACGUG